rnacentral:misc_RNA from 1 species
GAUGAAGAACGUAGCGAAAUGCGAUAAGUAAUGUGAAUUGCAGAAUUCAGUGAAUCAUCGAAUCUUUGAACGCACAUUGCGCCCCCUGGUAUUCCGGGGGGCAUGCCUGUUCGAGCGUCAUUUCACCACUCAAGCCUCGCUUGGUAUUGGGCAACGCGGUCCGCCGCGUGCCUCAAAUCGACCGGCUGAGUCUUCUGUCCCCUAAGCGUUGUGGAAACUAUUCGCUAAAGGGUGUUCGGGAGGCUACGCCGUAAAACAACCCCAUUUCUAAGGUUGACCUCGGAUCAGGUAGGGAUACCCGCUGAACUUAAGCAUAUCAAUAAGCGGAGGA